rfam:Picea glauca, whole genome shotgun sequence.
GCAUGCCUACAACAUAGUUUUAAUGCACCAGAUCCCAUUAGAACUCCGCAGUUAAGUGCGCUCAGGCUAGAAUAGUACUAGGAUGGGUGACCGCUCGAGAAGUCCUAGUGUUUUACAUGCC